AGGGCAGUUCUCUCAGGGUCACUUGAAAUGCUUCUCCUGGGCUUGCAGUCCUAAAAAUUCCCUCUAAAGAAAGCAUAACUCUCAACAUUCAGGUUGUGAACGUUUUUUAAGUCCACAACCAGAAGUGUACAUGAGUUUUGACCUGGAUGGAAAAAAGAAAAUUCAGCUCUUCCUUUGCAAUGUUUUUUUCUAGAAAUUUGACCAGUUUUCAAUAACCCCCUUUCCAAGUCUUUUGCUUAAGGAAACCUAUGUAAACUCUGUAAAUUACAAUCAGCAUUCUACCCCAUCAUGGUUUUGAGGGCACCUCUUAGGACUCCCUGCUGUCUGUCCACAGCCCCUCCUUUGCCUUCCAAAGUCAGCUGUGGAGAGAUUAAAAGUUGCACAAUAGAGACAAAUAUUUGUCUUAGUGGACAUUUAGAAGAACAUCACGGCCUGACCUACGUGGACAACUACUAGAACAAAGGAUUUCUACACCAAGAAGAUUGUACCAACUAGCCACGCCCCUUCCUCGCCUUGUUUGUAAAACUGCUUUUCUGAAACCUGGAGUUCCAACUUUUGGGGGGCAUGAGCCACCUGUCUCCUUGCGUGGCCCUGCACCAACCUUCCUCUGUUACAAUUUCGGUAUUUGGCCUCACUGUGUGUCAGGCGCCUAAACCUUCCCUCGGUAACAGUCAAGUGGUGCAGUAUGUGAGCUCCAGACGGCAAACAAGAGCCAGGUUUUUCCUCCAGAAGUAAGAGGAGGGAAUUCCCUGGUGGUCCAGUGACUAACACUCCACGCUCCCAAGGCAGGAGGCCCAGCACAGAGAGGUGAGCUGAGCUGACCAAGCCCAAAACUAGUGAACAGCCGCGGUGGACGAACCUGGCUCCCAGCCCUCGCUCCCAAACACUCAGCAUCCUGCUCUCCCAAGAUGAAGUUCCAUUGCCCUUGGAUCUGAAUGAGAUGCCACAACAUUCAGUCCAAAAAUCCUUCCCUUAAUUUGCACAUCCUCCCCGUGACUAUAAGCAUGUGGUGGUGGUGGUUUAUUCGCUCAGUUGUGUCCUACUC
ensembl:lncRNA